CCUACGGGAGGCAGCAGUGGGGCAUAUUGGGCAAUGGGCGCAAGCCUGACCCAGCAACGCCGCGUGAAGGAAGAAGGCUUUCGGGUUGUAAACUUCUUUUAUCAGGGACGCAGCAAGUGACUGUACCUGCUGAAUAAGCCACGGCUAACUACGUGCCAGCAGCCGCGGUAAUACGUCGGUGGCAGGCGUUAUCCGGAUUUACUGGGUGUAAAGGGCGUUUAGGCGGGAGUGCAAGUCAGAUGGGAAAACUAUGGGGCCAACCCAUAGCCUGCAUUUGAAACUGGACUUCUUGAGUGCUGGAGAGGCAAGCGGAAUGCCGGGUGUAGCGGUGAAAUGCGUAGAUAGACGGAGGAACACCAGUGGCGAAGGCGGAUUGCUGGACAGUAACUGACGCUGAGGCGCGAAAGCGUGGGGAGCAAACAGGAUUAGAUACCCGUGUAGUC
rnacentral:rRNA from 1 species